AUUGAACGCUGGCGGCAGGCCUAACAAAUGCAAGUCGAACGAGAGGCGGACGGGUGAGUAAUGGCUGGGACACUGCCUGAUGGAGGGGGAUAACUACUGGACACGGUAGAUAAUACCGCAUACCAAAAGAUGUGCCGAGAUGGGAUUAGCUAGUUGGUGGGGUAACGGCUCACCAAGGCGACGAUCCCUAGCUGGUCUGAGAGGAUGACCAGCCACACUGGAACUGAGACACGGUCCAGACUCCUACGGGAGGCAGCAGUGGGGAAUAUUGCACAAUUGGCGAAAGCCUGAUGCAGCCAUGCCGCGUGUAUGAAGAAGGCCUUCGGGUUGUAAAGUACUUUCAGCGGGGAGGCGUUACCCGCAGAAGAAGCACCGGCUAACUCCGUGCCAGCAGCCGCGGUAAUUC
rnacentral:rRNA from 1 species